AACGAACGCUGGCGGCAGGCCUAAUACAUGCAAGUCGAACGCACCGCAAGGUGAGUGGCAGACGGGUGAGUAACGCGUGGGAACCUUCCUAGUAGUACGGAAUAACUUCGGGAAACCGUAGCUAAUACCGUAUAAGCCCUCCGGGGGACAGAUUUAUCGCUACUAGAUGGGCCCGCGUCGGAUUAGCUAGUUGGUGAGGUAAUGGCCCACCAAGGCGACGAUCCGUAGCUGGUCGGAGAGGAUGAUCAGCCACACUGGGACUGAGACGCGGCCCAGACUCCUACGGGAGGCAGCAGUAGGGAAUAUUGGACAAUGGGCGAAAGCCUGAUCCAGCCAUGCCGCGUGAGUGAUGAAGGCCUUAGGGUUGUAAAGCUCUUUUACCCGGGAAGAUAAUGACUGUACCGGGAGAAUAAGCCCCGGCUAACUCCGUGCCAGCAGCCGCAGUAA
rnacentral:rRNA from 1 species